AGGUUAUCGUUUGUUAUAUUGACGUUGGCGUUACAAUGCAUAUGUAAAUUAUAAAAAAUUCAACAAGAUAUUGCUGAUUGUACUUCUUUGUAUGUUACAUAGGUAUUCCAACAUCGUAGGUUGCACCCAAAUUUCAAUAUCAAUCAAUAAGCACAAUAUUUAUUUAGUAUAAAAUAUAUAUUUCAAGAACUAGGCACAAAUAAACCAGGAAAUAAUACUUGUGUAGAAAAACUAUAGUUCCAUAAGAAAAGUUAUUACUAUAUGUACGUAAUACUUUUAGUAUUAUUUUAAAUAAACGCCAUUAUUUAAACAAGAAGUAAAUGAUCGCAAUCAUAAGAUAAUACCACUUAAACAAUAGAGGUACCGAAACGCUAAGGUAGUGGUUAUUUGGAUGGGAAUUAUCAGACCUGGAAACAGGCCAAAUGAAGUGUAAGAAAACUGUAAAGCCUGAAUAAAGUCUUUUAAAUGGUAAUGAAGAACUAACUGCCUUUUACUCAAUGAAUCGCCGCCUUUAUACAAGUUACGUUUUUUUAUCUAAAUAAAUGUAGGUAAUCAGAAGUGUAAAGAUGGAUGUAGUAAAAUUAUUAAUAAACAUUGACAACAAAUUUGGCAACUUGCUUGGGUCAACAUGGAUAGGAAGUAUAUUUCAUAAAUUUCUGGAAUCAUAUGGAAGCUUCUAUAUUAUACUCAUUUUCAUUUGUUUGAUUGCUUUGUUUGUGGGUAUUUUAAUACUUAGGAAAUCUCACGCGAAAGCGGUAACAACUCAUAUUCCUGCAUCUCAAUCUGUGAGAUUUAGAAAAAGGGAUAAAGCUUUAUUUUAUGGCCGCAAAAUGCUACGAAAAGUUAAAUCAAUUUCUGGUCAAGUCAGAAAUUCUGGUCAGGGUAAAAAAAGAAAGAUGGUAAUGCGCUUUGCCAGAAGAUUAUUACAACUUAAAAAGGAAAACGAAUCUGAACAACUCAAGGUAAAAUGAUAAUUGUAACAUUCACU